AGUCACUAAAAAUGUAUUUCUUAUGCAUAAUCAUUGAAACCAGAAAUGUAACCUGAUUCUGAAAUUGCAACAGAACAUUUUAUUCUGGUUUUCUUCAUGGGAAAUGACUGACUUUGGUAGAGUAGAAAUAGAAAGUUAGAAGCUUACGAAGAAGAACCAAAGAUGCAUAAUGCUCAAAAGAUCCAUUGCAAUAUUUGAUCAAUCAAAUUUCACAUGUAAAAUUUAAAAUGGCUAGAGAGUAUUGUAGCAUUGGCUUUGUAAAGAACUAAGCUAUAUGGGAAUUAAACUUUUGGCUGCUCAAAAGCUUUUGGAAAUAUCUGGUCAAAUGGAUUGAUUCUCAAACGCAGAGAUCGUUCCAGACGCCCCUGCGGGGUCACAGUCCCAGACCACACGCAUCUCUUCUCAACGUUCUUGUAUUUUCUCUGGCUCAGUCACCAAUGGCCACACCAGAUAUCUGAGAAAAUUUUUUCUCCUUUGACAGAAAACCUAUUCAAGAGGGGUUGUGUACAGAAAAAGUACCUAUUUCCAUCCAACUUCUGUAGCCUUUUCCCAUUAAUAUGCUGUGUUGCUAACAUAGAAAAGUCUGCCAUGGAAAGUGAAUUAAGUGUUGCUUUUAAGGAGCACGGGCUGGGAGGUUAGAAAGGAGAAUUUAAAGCAUGGUAAGAUACCACUCCUGGGAAUUCUGACACAUCAUAUUUCCUUAGUAUCAAGAUAUAUAUUCAAAACACAUAUUUAAAAAAGAAAAAAACCAGAAAAUUGGUUAAGCACAUGAGUCCUUCGUAUAACCAAAUACUGUAUUAUCACAGUUCUUAAUGUAGAUUUGUACUAAAUCUCAUUGAAAAUAGUCACAGAAGUGAAAAAAAUAAAUUACAGAACAUACGUGGUUGGUCAAAUUUUGUAAAAAUAUAUUUAUUCAUGGGCUGGCCCCGUGGCCGAGUGGUUAAGUUCGCGCGCUCCGCUGCAGGCAGCCCAGUGUUUCGUUGGUUCGAAUCCUGGGCGCGGACAUGGCACUGCUCAUCAGACCACGCUGAGGCAGCGUCCCACAUGCCACAACUAGAAGAACCCACAACGAAGAAUAUACAACUAUGUACCGGGGGGCUUUGGGGAGAAAAAGGAAAUAAUAAAAUCUUUAAAAAAAUAUAUAUAUAUAUAUUUAUUCAUGUGUUCAUACAAAAUCCGGAUAGAGAUACAUAAAUGCGUAAUAAUGGUGAUUAUCUCUGAAUGAUGGGGUUUUAGACAACUUUUUUUUUUUUUUUUUUUUUGCUUUACUGGUCCUAAUUUUUCCGGAAGGGCGUUGGAUUGAUUAUAUAAUAAAUAUGCUGAAUACAAUAAAAAGUACCAUAUUUCCCAGUGUCCCAGCCUCUAGUCAAUGAAAUGACUAGUGGGAAUGAAAGUGGGUCCACAGUGUUUGGAGUGGAUUUCGUGGCCUUUCUAACUGUUGCCUUACCUGCCAGCUCUCUUGCUUUGAAAACUUCUGUCCUACAUUAAAUGCUGGAUGGGUUGAUGGAAAACCAUAGCUGGCUUUAGCUUUUACCGUAAAUGAAAUGGGCUCAUUUUAUCUUGUAGUCUGAAUGAAAUUUACGAUCUAGAUAUGGCUGGUUUGUAAGUACGGCAUGAGGUUGUGUGCGUUAAGAUUGCAUCAAAAUGGUUUCUGCAUUUUAAUUAUUUACUGCUGUUUUUAACUAUGAAAGAAUAGAGAUCAGAAAAAGAGGCCCUCGCCAAACUAUGAAUGGCUGAAGUGUGCCAUAUUCAGUAUUCUGUGUCCGUUAGGACUAAGGCAGAGCUGUCUUUUCUCUAAUAGCAUAGUCCACUACACUUAACUUUGUAUCCCUCUUCGUGUUAGUUAAGUUAUGAGGGCAUUAGAAGAUUAAAACUAGUACUUGAGUCUUUAUGACACACUGUUCUACAAACAGCCUCUAACUUUUAAUAAACAUUGUUUUACCAUAAGAGAAAAAUUAAUCUGUAACUAUGGACUUGUUUCAGGUUUUCCUUCAGGAGAGAUUGAGCUGGUAGGCUAGGAUAGCACCUGGUCGUGGUGUUUACAUAAGGAGAAAGAUGACUAAGACUCAAAGAUGCCUUGACUCAAAGGUAAGUAGCAGAAGUUGCUGAUCAUAAGAAAGCAAGUGUGAAAAAGACAAUUAACCCACAUAUUGAAAGUACACUAAAAUCCUGUUUUACAGAUGAGGGAACCAAGAAAUGACAGAGUCAAGAUUUUAGACAAUUUUUGUUUGAUUCAAAACCCACUUUCCAUGAAACUAUAAUAUCCUUAUAGUUUUACUAUGCCUCUGUUAGUAUUUCUUAUGCUUUGCACAGGGCCACCACAUAAUAAAUGCUGUAGGUGUUUGCUCACUGAUACGACAAUGAAAAGAAGUGUUUAUCAUCAUAUUCACAUAUAUAUGGCUAAUGGAAAUUUUUGCAACAUAGAAAAAUCCAAAAGACGUUAAAUUUUUGUUGCUGUAAUUGUGAAUCUCGUGUAUUCUUUCCUGAAAGGUGUUGUGAUACAAAACAUUUAAACUUGCUUAUUGAGAAGAAAGAAGGCUUCUACUCAGUUUUGAUCCCAUUCCAAACCAAAGGAACUCUUGUGCUAGGUUUUGAAACAAAGCGCUGAAAUGAUACAUGUCCCUUGCUAGACUGUAAACCACAGUCCCUUAAUCCAGAUGACCUCAAGGCUUGACCAGAGAAUGCUCAGCUGCUUCUUCCGGUUACCUUUUCAUGCUGGCUUGUCCUUAAUAUAGCUCAUGCUCCCCAGAUGUAUCAGCUGCUCGCUCUCAUUAACCCUUGCUGGUCUCAUAGGCAUUAACCCUUGCUGGUCUCAUAGGUGACAUGGGCUGCUUCUCUCAGACACAGGGGGCAAGAAAUAUCUCCUAAUAGAGAAAUUUGCAGAUGUUUCAAGUGCCAUCAGGGCAGGACAAUACCAUGCAGCAAAGCUACUGAAUGCAUGUUUUUAUUUUAAAUGUUUUAUUUUUGAAAAUUAAAAAAAAUAGAAUAAUAUCGUAAACUCCCCAUGUGCCAUUUUGCAGCUCCAACAAAAUGAUUUCAUAUAUACCCUUACCCACAUCCACCUUCUCAAAUUGUUUUGUAGCAAAUUCCAGACAUUUUAUUUUCUGAAUAAACAUUUCAUUAUGUAACUCUAAAAGAAAAGGACUCUCUUCUUGUUACGUAACCACAAUAUCAUAAUUGUAUCUUAAAAAUGAUUAAUUCUGAAUGUUAUCAAAUAUUCAGUCAGUGUUCAAAUUUCCAAUUAUAUCUUUAAUGUCAUAAGUUUUUCUAGUUUGAAUCAGGAUCCAAACAAGGCCUACAUGUAAUGAUUGGUUAAUAUGUUCCUUUUACAUUUCUUUUUGCCUACUGAUUUCCCCUCAUCUUUUUUUUUCCUCUUUGCAAUUUAUUUGCUGAAGAAACCUGAUGGUUUGUCAAGAUUGUUAGGAUUUUGCUGGUUAUAUCCCCAUAGCAGUUUAACACGUUCCUCUUUCCUCUGGAUUUUCUUUAAAUUAGUAAUGGGAUCUGGAGAACUGACCGGAUUCAGAUUUGAUUUUCUGAAAAGACUCCUCAUUAGGAGGUGCUUUGUUCCUCCAUCAGAAGAAUCUAAUAUCUGGUUAUCUUUCUCUUUUUGAUAUUAGCAUAAUCAAUGCUCAAUGCCUAAUGGUGAUUCAUUUUGGGUUACAAAAGGAUGAUGUUCCUAUUCUAUCAUUCCUUUUUUAUUUGUUGGCUGAAAUACCACAAUAAAGAAAAUCUUACUCUUAUCUACUAUCUGAUGACCCAGUGGUUCUUUGUUUGUGAGUUUUCAAAGUAAUCAUUGGUUCUCUAAUGUUAUCUAAUGACUGAACAAUUAUUUUUUUAAAUAUCAUUGUGAACUCACAGAUUGAAAUUUAUUUGAUGUGUUUCAAUCUUUUGAAGGUUUUUUUCCUCAUUGAUCUUCAAGUUGCCUCACCUUUUACAGUCUCUGCAAGUUGAUUGCUAAGUCUUUAACACAAAGCUUGUGAUCUUUUAUAGCUUCCUUGGGAUCUGAUGUGAUGAGAGUUUCCAAGAAGAUUUUGUAUAUUUCCUAUCCCAGACCUGGAAUUAGCUGGUUCUCCAAGGAGCUCUGACUAUUUUCAGAAGGAAACUGGAUUUCAACAGCAAAUUCUGUGUGCUGGAGGUACUCAUUGCUACUGGGUGCAUCAGUAUUUCUAGGAGUUUUCAGUUGAAAAAAUUAGAAAGUCGUUUUUUCAAGCAGAAAAUAUCAGUUUAUAUUGAUACUUCAAAUUCGGGACUAAAAGGUCUUCACUUAAUCUCUUCUUUCUCACGUGUGUUUUUCCCUUCUCUCUUGCCAAGAAUCUUGCUUAUGAAGGACACUGGAUAAUAGGAUUAUAAUAUUGCAGAAUUAUAUUUUAUGUACGCAACACUUUUUGAAUUACAAAACCAUCACUACCACCCAUAAUGUGAUUACUGAAAAUUGUUUAAAGUCUUUUCCAGCAUUUUUUGUCCUUAGGGCAUAUGUUAUUAGGGAUCUAUCAUCAAAAACUAUUUAGUUGGAUUAGUUUCUGUAUGGUUAUACCAGCAACCAGUUACUCAUUUAGAUUCAUUUAUCUCGUUUUAAUUUCAAUUUUGGGGGAUUAAAUUUUUUGUUAUAUAAAAUUCCUACAUGGUUUCAAAGUCAAUGCUAUAAAACAAGACGUAUUCAAAGAUGUCUACCUUCUAUCCCUAUUCCUACAUCCUACUCACUCUGUACCUUUCGGGGAGAAGUCGACAUUAGGAUUGGUACGUAUAACUAUUACAUACUAUAUUUCUUCCCUUGUGGGAAGAAUAAGGGAAGAAAUGAUGCUGCUUUUCAUAGUGCUACUUUUAUGCAUAGUCCUACAAUUAACUAUAUGCUAAUACUCACCAACAGUCCUUAAAUUGAUAUAUCUCCAGUCAUUUUAAUUGUUUUAAGGUUAUUUUCUAGUAGAUACCUCAGAGAUGACUCAGGGGAUAAUGAAAAGAGUUUGACUUUACACUUAAAAAACAGUUUAUCUGAGUAUAAAAUACUUGGCUCAGAUUAUAUUUUUCAGUUUACCCCAUAAGGGAUAAAAUGUUGCUAUUGAAAGUUCUCGACAGUUUGUUUUUCUUUCAGUUCUAUGUGACUUAGACUUUUUGUCCAGAUGUCAAAAGAAUUGACUCACUUUCUUUAACAGUCAGUAAUCUCAUUAGACUUUUCUCAGUGGUACAUAGUGCACCUGUACAACGUGUAUUUUCAGAUAUAUAGUCCUAAUUUUAGGAACGUUUGUUUUUAAUUAUAGAUUUUUUUUAAAUAUCUCUCUCAUUUAAUGCUUUGAUUUUCUUCUUUGAGGACUCUUAUACAUAUGUUGUUUCUUCUUUUCCUAUCUUCCUUAAAGUUGAAUGUACCAGAGAUUUCCAGAAGGCUGAUAUCUGAAUUGCACCUAUAAAAAGCCUAACUUUGAGUGAUGAUUAAAUUGUACGGAACAUAAUCCAAGGAUAGAAGUGAUUAACAAGAGGUGAAUUGAAUGCGUGUUCUCUAUAAAUGUGACACCCAACAGGCUGCCUGUGUCCUAGUAAUCUUAUGUCCUCUUAUUUUCUUAAGUGGCCAAAAUAAGAAAUUAGAUGAAAUUUACUAUUGCAUUUGAGAUUAUGCAUAGUUUCCAAAGUAAAAUAAAACAGUCUCAGGGGAAAAUAUUUAUAAUUCGCUGCUAGGCAAAGCUUUGUUUUCCUUGAGAGCUAUGUUUCCUUUUCUUGAUGAGAGUCAUCAUAAUUAGGCUUUCUAUUUCCCCUUGGCUGCUAGGAAUCCAAAUUGUGGCUCAGUCUUGCAAUAAUAAACAUAAUUACGCAGAGAUCCUUACUGCAUGCAUGUAUUCGUCAACGUGGUCCCAACUUUUACUUCAAAGGUUUUUAAACUUUGAUGUCAAAGGACAAGCUUGCAGAGAAAUUGUAUACAAAAUUUUGUUUGAAUAUGCAUUUUUUUUCUGGGAAAGUCUGGACAUUUCAUCAGAUUCUGAUUCUAAAAGGCAUCUGUGAUACAAAAAGAAUGUUAAAACUUCUGUUCUUAUAUUAUUUAAUUUCAUUUAUAAAAUAGAAACUUCUGUUCUAGUUUAAUUUUAAACUCUCAGUUACUUACAUCAAAAUAAAUUGCUUACUUUUGGAAUCACAUGAAACAUUUUUUAUCUUGACAAAAUGUAAUUAAUAAUGAACUGAUGAAUUUACAGUGUAGACUCUAAUCACUGAAAAUCAAGUCAUGCCAUUUGCAAGUCAAGAUCGUGUAAUACUGGGAAAAAGCUAAGCUCUUUUUCUACAAUUAUUAUUAAGGGUCUGAUGAAAAGUCAUUGCCUGGGUUCACUAACUUUGGAAAGAAGGCUAGCAUUAUAUGUGGUCAUUCUAAAUAGUAUCCCCCUUAAAACAGGUUGAGACACAAACCACUUCAAUAAAGUCACUUACUAUUUCUACAUAAGCUAGUUUCAUUUUAUUUCUUCUCUAAGUUUCUCUUCCUCCUACCAUUGCUUUGUGUAUUUUUGUGCAUGGGUAAAUGUCUUGCAGUCUUUUGGUAAAUAUUUAUCAAAUUGGUCGUAUGCUUGUUACCAUGUAACAGAUGCCUCUGAAGAAAUGCUUCAUCCACUUAACUAAGUAUUAAGAGCUGCAAAUAGUUCCCUUGCUUGGUGCAUAAAGAUGAAAUAUAUUGUAAGAUAGAGUGUUUUGUAGAAUUAAAAUAAAUAGUAAAAUUAUAUUAAUAUAAUGUCUAUCUGUCUAUCUACCUACCUACCUACCUAUCUAUCUAUCCUAGUAGGGUGAAGAGGUAGAAAAAGGCAUACAGUGCUUGUUAAAGCAAAGCUGACCAAACUCAGGAGCGAAAAUUAAGCUCAUACGUGGAAAUCCAAAGUAUCUCAAUUAAAUGGAAUCACUUAUCUAGAAUGCAUUCAUUUUUUAUUUUGCCAAUGAUUUAUUUUUAAUUAUUUGUGGCAAUUAUUUAACUCUUUUCCUAGCAUACAAUAAGUUCUGUAAUUCUGUGAACAAUAGAUUGGCAUUUAAAUAAAAAGAGUUUUGUUUACUUGAGAAAUAAAAUUAACUUCUUCCGAUUAUGAACCUAUAGGAAAUAUGGUUGCAGUUUACAUUCUUCUUGCAAUUGUCUAAGAAGUUAGCAUUAUGUCUAAGAAGUUAGAAUAAUUUCUCCCUGUUUUGCUAUUCUUAAUGCAAUUGGAUUAAAUUCGAGAAUUUAGAGAAUUUAGAUUUGACUUGACAUUUCAAAAUAUUUAGAGGGGGCUGGCCCCGUGGCUGAGUGGUUAAGUUCCCGCACUCCGCUGCAGGCGGCCCAGUGUUUCGUUGGUUCGAAUCCUGGGCGCGGACAUGACACUGCUCAUCAAACCACGCUGAGGCAGCGUCCCACAUGCCACAACUAGAAGGACCCACAACGAAGAAUAUACAACUAUGUACCGGGGGGCUUUGGGGAGAAAAAGGAAAUAAUAAAAUCUUUAAAAAAAAAAAUAUUUAGAAAGUGGCUGAUGAUUAAAUGUUGAAGGGUAAUAUACAUGAUUUUCCAUGACAUGAAUAAAAACAUCUAGAUGAAAUUUCCCAAAUCAUUUGCACUUUAGGCAAACGAUCACACAGUUUUGAUGUGUUGAGUUAUUCAGUCAACAAGAAUUAGUAGUUAACUUGCAAUUUGAUGGACCUGAGAUGAGGAGAGAAAUAUCUGAGGUUGGAAUUUGUUUGUGUGAAUGUUUUUUAAUAAAUUGUGGAGUCAGCUUAAAUGCCUAAAGUGGAUUCUGACACUGACACUCUUUUCUUUUUCCCUGCCGAUUCAAUUCACAGAGCCAGUGGCACUUAAGUGGUCAAAUAGUUAGGUUACAAGUAUUUAUUAAGGUAAGCAAACCCUCACCCGUUGCAUGUGGUCAGACAUCUGAUUUUAAUUAUGGGAGAGGUGGAUAAACAUUGAUGCUAUGGUUAGAUAGAAGCUGGUAUGCCUUUUCUAAGCUCAUUAGAGCUUAUAGCUUGCCAGUUUACACACACAGACACUCGAGGUCUGAAAUAAAGAUUUGUUUCUGUAUUCUUUGUUUCUGUAUUCUACUGAUUAUCUUUUAGAGAGAUAAGUGCAGCUUCAAAUGUAACCCUAGAUUAAAAAAGCAAAAAAUACAAAAACAAAAAUUGACUAGCUCUCAGGUCACGUUCUCUCACACCCACCCUCCAGUCCCAAGCCCUAGGUCUAACUGGAGCCAUGUUACUCAGUUAUUUAUCUCCAAAUCACAACCCUAAUUUCUCUACCACUGCACAUUUUCCCUAACUGAGCUCUAACACCUGCCAGAAACAAAAGACCGAAAACAACAUCAAAGAAAACCCCACAAAGGUUUUGUUUAACUUCUCUUCCACCUCACCUCCCAUCAAAUGAAUUCCUUAGAGGGCGCAUCAUGAUUAGUAAUGCCAGUUUUCAGUAGAACCGCUCUACUAAUUUCACAAAAAUCAGAAUCAUAAAGAUAGAGGAUUGAACACCAUUCACGUGUUCUUGUUUCUUCUGCAUUUUAUGCUAUCAUUCUAAAAAGUAAAACUGAUUUUUACUAAUGUGUCAUCAUGACAUAUGAAGCACGUCAGGGAAAAUUUACUUUAGUAAACAGUUAACAUUUUACAGUAGCCUCGCUGAGCUUUACCGCUGAUGUUAGUUUUUCAUAUUUCUUUUUCCUCAACCACCAUCAACUUUAUUUUAAACUUAUGUGCUUCCUAAAUAGAGUUUGGAUGACUUUUCAUCUCUGUUUUCUACUUCUCCUUGUUUUCUGUAGUCUCAUUACCCAAGAUAAGCGAGGACAAAGUUUCUAAAGGUUUUGUGAUAUUGAUCACCUCUUGAACUGAGGAAAUAAUCUGGAAAUAUAUUCCACGCCCCUUUGCCUCUAAGUAAAACCACGUGCAUAACCAACCAUUACUGAAGGAAGACUCAGGAUCCCAGAGACAGGUGACCUGUGGUUACAGGCACCGUUUUAGAGAUCAGACCAGCUCUGAGUUGGCAAGCUAUUUAAAAUAUAUCUGUUCUACAGAUUCCACCUGCUGUAUAGGGUUGUUUAUAUAGUUCUGUGUAAAAGGUAUCAGUGGGAAACAACUAAACUCCUAUUACCAUGGCUAAAAUUAAUAAAACAGCAAGCAAACACUUGCCAAUAUAAUACAUGUUUAUUCCCAUCUUGGCAUCUGUUUCUUGGAGGACUAAAGUGUGGAUUUCACUGUAUGUAAAUUAUAGUUCCCCAAAAAAAGUCAUAAUGCCUGGCAUAUAGUAACAGCUCCAUAAAAUGCGAUUUUUGAUAGCUCUCAAAUGCCAGACGUGUUACUCCUAUGCAAAAAUGACAAUGAAAAUAUUACUUUGACAGCUUUAGUUAAGUAGUUGCUUAAGAAUUUCAGUGCUGUGUUUGAAUUAACUUUAAGUACACUUUGGUCAAAAUAAGGAGCUUAAGGAUUUCCAAUAAGGAUUCAGUAUACUGGUGAAUUUAAUGACGCUUUAAUAGUUUUAAACGAAUUAUUUAAAUAAAAAUUAUUCAAAAAUAUUCAAAAAGUCUUUUUUCCCCUGGAAUUAGUUAGAAAAUUUUAAAUAUCCAGAAUCUAUCAUUUGCAUGUUUUGCUUCUUUUCAAAUUUCAAAAGUAAUACAUUUGUGUUGUAAUAAGUGAAACAACAUAAUACAGUUCAGAAAUGGGCAAAGCUAGCAAUCACCCACCCCUCCCUAGAAGUCAGUAGGAGAGAUCCACCUUGUUCUUCUAACUUCUAUAAGCCUACGUAUGCACAUAGGAUUCUAUACAAAUCCUAUCAUAGUAUGGAUCCUUUAUUAGUCGUCUUCUCCCAAGUUUGAUUUUCUGCUUACCUCACUUCCCCUCCCCAUCCUUCGCUUUCAUUGCUGCUUCCACUCCCUGGAUUAUGUAUCCUUUUGUGAUCCUAUGUAUAUACACAUUGCAUGCACUUUUUCGUAAUUGUUUACUUUACAAAAAUAUAAUAUUAAAUACUCUUCCCUACAGGUCAUUUUCCUCAUUCAACACACUUUGGAAUACCCCCAAGCCCCAUGUCAGUUCGCAUAGCUUAAUUAUUCUUUAACAAUAGUUGCUAAUAUUGCAUAAUAUUCCACGAAUAAUAUAUUGAAUCAUUUUCCAUUUGAUUGACAUUCAUCUUGCUUACAUUUUAUUUUUUGCCACUUUAAACAAUGCUGCAGUAAUUUUUUUAUAUAUUUCCUUUUAUAUAUUCUGAUACCCUUAUACCCAUAAGAUAGAGUCCCAAAAGUUAGACUGUUGGACUGAAGUGUAUGCAAAUUUCUAAUUUUAAUAGAUAUUGUCAGGUGUUUUCCAAAAAGACUGUAAGCAUUUACAUAUCCACAUUUUUCACCUCACCCGUGCCAUCAAUAGAUAUUAUCGCUCAUUUUGUGUUUUUAUAGUCAUAUCCGAGUUGUUGAGAACUGUCAUAAGACAGUUUCUGGCUCUUGGAUAACUGAGUAGCCUUUAACGACUAGAGGUAGGAGGGAACUAUGACUUCUUCAUCCCAAUCUCACAGUGAUCUCUUAAAUCAAAGCCAGUCUCAAACCUAAUUUUUUGCAUGUACGUUUAUUAGCAAGCAGUCACCCAAACGAUCUAGCUGUUCCUCUAAGCAGUCUAAAGUCCCUACUCUCUGUCCUUACCACAGUCUCAGAGCACCUUGCUUUAAAGGUUUAUCGCAAAGGAAAUGCAAGAAAAAUGUUGAAGCAAGACGCUUCUUUUCAUUCUUACUAAUUUACUAGAUGACAAACCCUCCAUUAAGUGGUUGCUGUGGAAGAGUGGGACUCUGGUGGCAUAUGGAGGUCUGGUCCUAAGGCUUUAUUUGCUGCAAAAGCGUUAGAAUGUUAAGCUCAGAUUCCUUUACCCUAUUUGUGAAAGUGCGGAGGAGCCCACACUAAUCUUCCUUGCUAAUCACAUAUCUUCAUCACCACUCAUUUCACCAGUGAAAACUCAUUUUUAAUCAACAAAUGCAAUAGUGGAGAUUUAGACCUUGCAAUUUAAAGUACUUUUCGUAUUCACUUCUAGAGAGUAGACACCUUAUAGGGUUUCUCAAGGGCUAACUAACCCACCAUGGAGUGUGAAUUCAGGAUUAGUAAACCUUAAAUGUUAACUGACUUCUCCAGACUAUAAAUUGAAGAUAACUUACACAUAAUAUGGUACAAAUUGAAAUAUUUUAAAGUAAAUACAGACAGUGCAGUAGGUAUAAGGCAGCAGCUUUGCUGCUCUUCCCAUAGAAAAUAGCAAUAGAAAGGAAAACACAUUUCUCUAUUUUAUCAAAUAUGCCUCACUAAUUUAAAGGCAUCAGUAGUGGGACCACCAUUGGGCUCCUCCUUACAGGAGGAGAUGAGAAAAAAGACAGCAGCCAGAAUCCAGCAACUGAGUGGAUGUGUUCAUGACCUCAUGGGUACAGCAUUAAAUGCUUAGAGAAAGAAGCCUUAUUGCUUGCAAUCUGCAAAUGUAGACAAACUGUUCCUGUAUCACAAUGUUUGGUGUUUUCACAAUUCUUCCUAAUGGUCAAAGCAGUUCAGUUAGGAUUCAAAAUACCCAAGGCUGCACUAUAAGUGGUAACAAACUGAUUGAAACAAAUUCUUUUUCCACAGCCCACACUCAUAUUUCUUCAAAGGAGAAUCUGAAGGCACAGUUACAGAGCUGGAAAUAGUUCCAUCAUUUUCCAAAGUUUGGAAAAAUAUUCAGAAGACACACUGAUAUAAUUACUGAAUUUAAACUGUAGGUCUAAUGUGAUAAGCAUUUACAGUAUGCCGGCAUGAAAUGCUUUCCCAAAGGUGACAGAAUCACUUUGAGUAACAGCCAUUUGGUUGCCUUUGCUUUUGACUGUGUGAUGGGAGCGUAUCGUGGUCACUGCAGUCUGAUAAAUGACCUUCCCAUCAUUCUCAUUUUGUGGGUUUAGGUCAGACACCCAUAUUGUGACUUGGUUGGUGUGGAGGCUGGUGUUUUACUGUAUUUUUAGAAUAUUUAGUCUAUUUAGAAAGUUUACAUAAUUUUGGUUACACUGACUAAAGUGACUAGGACUAAAAAUAAGAUUGGCCUUACUAAAACAAACUCUUCUUGCAUUAGAAGACGGCACUGUGUGCCAGUGUUCAUUCAAAGUCCUUCUGAUUCUGGGUUUGGUGCUUCAUAUUACAAAUAGGGGUGCUUGCGGAUGAGAGAAAAAAAAUCUUGUCUCUGUUAUUGGUAGGGACAGAAUAUUCCUGAAGGGCAAAAUGAAAAAUGUCUUUUUACCAUGCCACUUGAUCUAGACUAGAGAUGGCAAGUAAGUUUUAUUUAUUUUGCCAACUCUAAGGAAUUGAUAGUGGCUCCCCAGAGCACUCUGUAGAAAGGAAUUGGGAGAGAAGGUUGGUACCCUGAUAGAAAAGAUGCUAAUUCGUUAGUGAUAACUGCCAAGGACUGAGUGUGAGAGGAGAGACAGAACAUGAGUAACAUAUCUGAUAUUUCUAGACUAGUGGAAAGUGAGAGGGGUAUAGUCAAAUACUCCAUUUCGAGUUGAUAUUCCCUGGGUAGUUUAUACCACACUUCAAAUCUACUGAAUCAGAAAUUCUCUAUGAGCUGGUUUUUAAAAAUAAAUUCUCUAAUGGGUGAAGGGAUAAAGAGGUAUGAGCUUUCAGUUAUAAAAUAAAUAAGUCAUGGGGAUGUAAUGUACAGCACAGGGAAUAUAGACAAUAAUAUUGUAUUAACAUUUUAUAAGGACAGAUGGUAACUAGACUUUUUGUGAUGAUCAUUUUGUAAUGUAUAUAAAUGUUGAAGCACCAUGUUGUAAAUCUGAAAUUAAUAUAAUAUUGUAUGUCAAUUUUACUUCAGUAAAAAGCUCCAAUAUUUAUGGUGUAUAAAUAUAUAAAAUACCUUUUCACAACUAUUACACACACAUUAAAGAAUUCUAAUUUGUAAUUAAUUUUAAUUAAAGAUUAAGAAUUUCAAUUAGUUAAUUUUAAUUCUUUUAAGAAUUGUGCUUGAAUAGUAGAGAUGAAGCCAAUUUUUGCUUAAUAGUUAAAUAGCAUGUUAAGAAUAUUUUUUAAGAUGGGGUUUUAGUGAAGAUUGAAAUCACUGGAAAAGUAUAAAGAAAUGUACGUAGAUGAGCAAAAUAUAUGAGUGUUAGUCUACAUUUAUAGUCUGAAAACCAACAAACACCUUCCCUGGCCAAACUUGUGUAUAUCUUGUGUAUAAAUUUUUAGACACUUCUCAUUUUAUUAUAAAUUGUUUUUUAAAGAUUUAUAUUAAUGUGGUAAAAAUACCUGCUCGUGUCUUUCGUUUCAAAACUGGAGGAUUUACUUUUUCUUAUUGGUCUGUAGGGUUUCUUUAUACAUUCUAGACAGUAAGCCUUUAUAGCUGUAUAAAUUUCAAAUAUAUUUUUCUAGUUUGUGAAUUAGUUUUUCAUUUUGUUCAUGGGGACUUUUGAUGACAAGAAGUCCUUAAUUUUAAUAUAGUCAAACAUUCAUCUUUCCUUUUAUGGCUUAUGCUUUUUUGUGUCUUGUUUAAGAAAGCCUUCCCAACCCUGAUGUGACAAAGAUACUCUCUUAUGCUCUCGUCUAAAAGUUUAUAGUUUUGUCUUCUACGUUUGUCACUAAUCCACUUGGAUUUUAGUUUUGCAUAUAGUAUGAAACAGUGAAUUUUCACAACACAAUUACUGAACAGUCCAUCUUUCCUUCAAUGAUGCCUGAGAUCCACUCUCAUGAUUCAAGCUUUCGUCUACGUUUGGGUCUCUGUUCAGUUUUCUAUUCUUCUCCAUUAGUUGUUUAUCUGUAUUUUUCUGUUGCAAAGGUAUACAUUUAAUUUCCCACAUCUUUAAGAUAAGUCUUGAUGUCUGAUAGUGCAGGUCCCUCCAGCACCACCACCCAUUUCCCAACUCUGUUCUUCUUAAGGAGUUUCUUGAUUAUUCCUGGAUUUUUCACUUGCAUAUAAAUUUUAGGAUCAGCUGCUAAAGUUCCACAGUAAACCCUUGUCUUGGCUUGGGUUCCCUGGGAAACAGACUCUGAGAUGGGAAUUUAUGUGCAGAAGUUUAUGUCCUUGCAGUCAAUACCUGAGAAGGAGUGAGACAAGUAGGGUGGGGCAGAGGGAGAAGUUGAACCGUGGUGCGGGUUCAUCAGAGGCCUCGGUGGAUAUCAUGGGGAGCUCUGGAGCUGGUGGGCUCUUCAAAGAUGUCCCAAAUUGGGUAAAGGGGCCAGGCCUUUUAACCCCCACAUCUACCAAAUGUUGCAUCUGGACUACUUCCACGAAGAGAAUAUGAUAUCACAUUGGGUAAGGCAGCUCCCUUCGGCCAACAAGCAAUUCUUCCAGAGAGAGUCAACUAUAACCUGUCAGCAGUCAACACUCCAGGCAGCUCGGGGAAUGAGUGCCGUGGUGGAUUUGGGUGCUGCACUACAGCACAGGGAUUCUGCUUGUUCUCUUUUCUGGGGAAAUUUACAAGAGGAAGUUUGGUGAUUGCACCUAAUUACUCAAGUAACUAAUUACUCAAGUUACUCAAGCUUGUAACUCAUAAUUCCCCUUCUCCACCACAUUUUCUAGAUUCCCCUCACCCCCUACUAGCACUUCUGUUGGUCUCAGUGACUUACAGAAGGCAUGACGCAGCCCCUUAUCCCCUAAAGAUCUGAUCUAAUUAUCAUGGCCUUCUUAGGAUAUGGCUCCUGCACUUGUCCGUUUACUGUCAAAAUUUGGCAAGGGAGUUGCAAGAGAUGAUAUAGUGGUUCACACAGGUGCCAAAGGUAUUCUUCCUUGUCUGCGUCGUAUAUCAGCAGCCCCACCUCCUCCUGAAGAUGAUUAAAGUCAGUUAUCCCCUUUUCUUGUCUGAUUGGGCAGUACCUGUAGUUUAAAGCUCAAUCAAACUCUAGCUGUUUUCUUAGUGGAAACACUCCCCAUCUGGGGACCAGGAACUCUAGACCUACAGGUUGCAGAGAUAUAUCCUGGAGGAUGGCAUCCCAUCUUUUUAAGGCAUCAUUCUCAAGUCGAUGCCUCAGCUGUACCUUCAAAAAGCCAUUCAGUUGCUCUAGGAGGACACUAUAUGCUUGGUAGUGUUCUGUGAUACGACCAAUUGGAUCCCAUAGAAAUGUGUCUAUUGCUAUACCAUCUUGGCUGUAAAGUGAGGCCCUUGGUCUGAGACAAUGUUAGGUAGUGGUCUCUGUUCUGUGUUGGCCAAUCACUGUAUGCCUUCAGUUGUGCGGGCCAAGGUCCUGCAGGCAGGAAAGGAAAACUAUACUCACAAUAUGCAUCAGUUCUAGAUGAAAUAAAUGGCUGCCCCUGCCAAGGGUGAAAGUGGUCCUGUCUCAGUUUCCUAGGGCUACAGUAACAAACUGCCACGAACUGGAUGACUUACAAUAACAGAAAAUUCUUCUUUCACAGUUCUUCAGGCCUGAAGUCUAGAGUCAAGGUCUUGGCAGGGCCAUGCUGUCUCUCAUAGCUUCUUGUGGUUGUCAGCAAUCCUUUGUGUUCUUUAAUUUACAGCUAUAUAACUCCCAUCUCUGCCUCUGUUGUCACAUGGCUGUGUCCUCACAUGCGUUCUCCUCACUGUUUGUGUCUGUCUCUGCAGCUCUUCUCUCUAUAAAGAUACCAGUCAUUCUGGGUUAAGGACCCACUCUACUCCACCUCAUCUCACCUUCCAUCUUAACUACAUCUUCAAAGACCCUAUUUCCAAACAGGGUCACAUUCACAGAUACCAAGUGUUAGGAUUUCAACAUAUAUUUUGGGGGGCACAAAUAUAUCUUUUGGGGGACCACAAUUCAAGCCACAACAGAUCCAGUGUAAUCAACUUGCCACCAAGUGGCUGCUUGUUCUCUGUGAGAGAUAUGCUGAAUUGGGGGGCUCAGGACUGCUUUCUGUUGCUGGCAGGCUGGUAUCUGGUGGUAGCAGUAGCUAGACUAGCCUUGGUGAGUAGGCACACUUGUUGUUGGACUCCUGCGCAGCCUCCUUCCCUGCCACCACAACUACUUCGUUCUUGAGUCCAUUGUGCUGGCACUGAGGUGACCAGUGGCAGAGGCUGGUGGAGGCCAAUUGUUUACACUAUUCUGUCUAUUGACUGCUUGGUGAAUGCUCACUGAUGGGUAUUGUGUAAAUUAAAGACACCGUGUAUCUAAGGCUGUGUCAAUCUGCUCUAGCAAAGAUACCUUAUCUCUUGGUGGAGUUUGCAGUAGACUACUGUCAUCCACCAGGAUCCAUCUAGUUUCUGUGAGGGCCCCAAAGGAGAAUUAAGUGGGUACACAGUGGAGACCACCACCUCUGCACACUUUAGGACUUGAAGGGUAGUGCUCAUCUCUGGCAUCUACCCCCCAUUCCAAGAUGCAAUAUUGUUUGUAAUUACAGUUUGGGCCAGAAAAAGGAGAGAAGUUUCUGAAAUUUCAACAUGGCCUUCCAUGCUGGGAUAGGUGUUAUUCUAUGGAUCAAAAAAUAAGUGUUGGGGCCGGCUGGGUGGUGUAGUGGUUAAGCUUGUGCAGUCAGCUUCGGUGGCCCAGGGUUCGUGGGUUCGGAUACCAGGCGCAGACCUACACACUGCUCAUCAAGCCACGUUGUGGCAGCAUCCCAAAAAUAGAGGAAGAUUGGCACAGAUGUUAGCUCAGGGCCAAUCUUCCUCACCAAAAAAGUAAAUAUAGUAAGUAUGAAGGUUAUGCCAUCUACCAACUAUACUGUUUUCAUUUUAACUCCAGGGCUGGGAGAAAUGACCACUGACUGAAUCCAUGGACUCAAUGGACAUUCUGUGAGCUGGACCUGGAAAAAUGAGGAAAUCAAGACACCAUGGAGCCCUUUGUGGGCGGAGCCAAUGAUGCCCAUGGGCCAUCCCUUGCCCUCCAGGUGAGCGCCCACUGCAGGUGACUGUAUUGCCCACUGACUGUCCAACAGGAGAGUGCCCUGCUAUGUCCUAAGACUGUCAGCUUGUCUAAGUUACCCUGUGUCAGCAACUGACUCAUAGGCCAAGGGUACUCCUAAGUCUCUCAGACUAGAGGAUGCAGCCCAGGACACCCAAGAAGCAGUGGUGAUAUGGAAAAGUUUGGAUGGUAUCGUUCAGAUCCAUCGUAAGAACUGUACUUCCCCUCCACCUGCCCCAUUGCACAUUCCCCGAAAGAGGCGGUGGUGAAGCCUUUGGCCGUGACAAAGGAAUCGUAAUACUGGCACUAAAGAGCAGACUCUUUUAUCUCUCUGAUAUCUGUUUUCCUACCACUCUACUGUGAAUUAACUCUCAAAAAAAUAGCUAGUGGAACUGAAGUAGAAAAGAGUGGCAGAAUCUCUCAUACCAGAGAGGAAAUAUAACUUGGUAGAAGCGGCAUUAUUUAAUAUUUAAGAGCACAGAUCUUGAAGCCAGAAUCAGCGACUUCCUACUCUUCUGACUGUGAGCAAACUACUCAUUUGAGCCUGUUUUCUCACUUGUGAAAUGAAGAUAAUACCUUUCUCGUUUAGUAUGACACCUAAAUGGGAUAGUACAUACUCGCACCCACACACAUAGCCACGCAAUAAACCUGGUUACAUCAUUCUCAUCUCUUGGCACUACUUUCAUCCGAAUUUACUGAACACGCAUUACCUUUGGCUGCUGUAAGUUGACUCCAGUGCAGACAAAGUUCUACAAGACCAGCAAGCAGGGUGAUGCCUUCGUGUUCCCGGAUCCCUAGCAUCCACAUACCCAACAGCAGCUUUCCCUCACAAGAGGAGUGCAGCAAGGGGACUGUGAUAAUCACCUACUGGUCUCAGAUCCAAGAGAUGUCUCUAUCAAAAUUACGUGCAAGGGGUCCUCAGGCCCAGAAUAUCUGUGUCACCUUGGUCUCAAGUUUCAGGGAUAAACUUACGUAAACAUUUGAAAAAAUGGAUAACCUAAAAGGAAAUUGGCUAAGAGAUGAAGUGCAACAAGGAAACCAAAAUUGAUAAAGCUGCAAGUGAAGUUCUAAUUGAGCAUAAAUGGAGUCAGGGAAGAAAUGGCCAUCUGUGGGAAUGUUGACACCAUCACUGUUUUCCAGAGACGAUAGACAUGCAUCCAGAGGAACUCAGUGAAGCCAAACUUAGCGACACAAAUGAGGAAUAUGGCGGUGAUGAAAAGAAUGAAGAUAUCCCAGAAGAAGGCACACUGGCAAAAAACCCUCACAUUAAAGAAACUCUGGGAGGAAUUGUGCUGUAUUGAAGGCACAAUGGAUAAAUAGCUGGAAACUAAUUCAGAUUUAGAAAGGAGUACAACAAUUCAUGGAGGAAUAACAAAGAGGCUCACUCCAUACCGUAUGUCAUACAGGGAGAGGAAAAGGGCAGGCACUGCUCAAACUGAGCUCGGGGGAUCCCUACAAAGAAAAAGACAUUUUACUGUUCAGCGUUUCUACUAUUUUAAACUUCAAUGUACUAAAUAAAUAUUAGUUUUACCAUUUUUAAAUU
rnacentral:lncRNA from 1 species